UUUAGAUGAUGAAUACUUACUCUUGGUUCGUGUUUAUGACACUUUGUGAUUAUGUGUAAAUUAAAUUCUGAUAAA